GUAGAGCAGCCUAGUGGAGAAGGUGAUUGACUGGAGAUUGAAAGGUCGCCGGUUCGAUCACCGGCUCCACU